rnacentral:rRNA from 1 species
GACGAACGCUGGCGGCGUGCUUAACACAUGCAAGUCGAACGCUGAAGCUCAGCUUUUGUUGGGUGGAUGAGUGGCGAACGGGUGAGUAACACGUGAGUAACCUGCCCCCUUCUUUGGGAUAACGCCCGGAAACGGGUGCUAAUACUGGAUAUUCACUGGUCUUCCCGUGGGGGUGGGUGGAAAGGGUUUUUCUGGUGGGGGAUGGGCUCGCGGCCUAUCAGCUGGUUGGUGGGGUGCUGGCCGACCAAGGCUUUGACGGGUAGCCGGCCUGAGAGGGGGACCGGCGACAGUGGGACUGACAUAAGGCCCAGACUCCUACGGGAGGCAGCAGUGGGGAAUAUUGCAGAAUGGGCGUAAGCGUGAUGCAGCGACGCCGGGUGAGGGAUGGAGGCCUUCGGGUUGUGAGCCUAUUGGGCUCAUGGUCAAGCCGCAACAAUGGUUGUGGUGAGGGUAGUGGGUAAAGAAGCGCCGGCUAACUACGUG